GACGAACGCUGGCGGCGUGCUUAACACAUGCAAGUCGAACGGUAAGGCCCUUCGGGGUACACGAGUGGCGAACGGGUGAGUAACACGUGGGUGAUCUGCCCUGCACUUCGGGAUAAGCCUGGGAAACUGGGUCUAAUACCGGAUAGGACCACUGCCUGCAUGGGUGGUGGUGGAAAGCUUUUGCGGUGUGGGAUGGGCCCGCGGCCUAUGAGCUUGUUGGUGGGGCGAUGGCCGACCAAGGCGACGACGGGUAGCGGGCCUGAGAGGGUGACCGGCCACACUGGGACUGAGAUACGGCCCAGACUCCUACGGGAGGCAGCAGGGGGGAAUAUUGCACAAUGGGCGCAAGCCUGAUGCAGCGACGCCGCGUGAGGGAUGACGGCCUUCGGGUUGUAAACCUCUUUCAGCACCGACGAAGCGCAAGUGACGGUAGGUGCAGAAGAAGGACCGGCCAACUACGUGCCAGCCGCCGCCGUAA
rnacentral:rRNA from 1 species